rnacentral:rRNA from 1 species
ACUAAGCGUACACGGUGGAUGCCCUGGCAGUCAGAGGCGAUGAAGGACGUGCUAAUCUGCGAUAAGCGUCGGUAAGGUGAUAUGAACCGUUAUAACCGGCGAUUUCCGAAUGGGGAAACCCAGUGUGUUUCGACACACUAUCAUUAACUGAAUCCAUAGGUUAAUGAGGCGAACCGGGGGAACUGAAACAUCUAAGUACCCCGAGGAAAAGAAAUCAACCGAGAUUCCCCCAGUAGCGGCGAGCGAACGGGGAGCAGCCCAGAGCCUGAAUCAGUGUGUGUGUUAGUGGAAGCGUCUGGAAAGGCGCGCGAUACAGGGUGACAGCCCCGUACACAAAAAUGCACAUACUGUGAGCUCGAUGAGUAGGGCGGGACACGUGGUAUCCUGUCUGAAUAUGGGGGGACCAUCCUCCAAGGCUAAAUACUCCUGACUGACCGAUAGUGAACCAGUACCGUGAGGGAAAGGCGAAAAGAACCCCGGCGAGGGGAGUGAAAAAGAACCUGAAACCGUGUACGUACAAGCAGUGGGAGCACGCUUAGGCGUGUGACUGCGUACCUUUUGUAUAAUGGGUCAGCGACUUAUAUUCUGUAGCAAGGUUAACCGAAUAGGGGAGCCGAAGGGAAACCGAGUCUUAACUGGGCGUUAAGUUGCAGGGUAUAGACCCGAAACCCGGUGAUCUAGCCAUGGGCAGGUUGAAGGUUGGGUAACACUAACUGGAGGACCGAACCGACUAAUGUUGAAAAAUUAGCGGAUGACUUGUGGCUGGGGGUGAAAGGCCAAUCAAACCGGGAGAUAGCUGGUUCUCCCCGAAAGCUAUUUAGGUAGCGCCUCGUGAAUUCAUCUCCGGGGGUAGAGCACUGUUUCGGCAAGGGGGUCAUCCCGACUUACCAACCCGAUGCAAACUGCGAAUACCGGAGAAUGUUAUCACGGGAGACACACGGCGGGUGCUAACGUCCGUCGUGAAGAGGGAAACAACCCAGACCGCCAGCUAAGGUCCCAAAGUCAUGGUUAAGUGGGAAACGAUGUGGGAAGGCCCAGACAGCCAGGAUGUUGGCUUAGAAGCAGCCAUCAUUUAAAGAAAGCGUAAUAGCUCACUGGUCGAGUCGGCCUGCGCGGAAGAUGUAACGGGGCUAAACCAUGCACCGAAGCUGCGGCAGCGACGCUGAUGCGUUGUUGGGUAGGGGAGCGUUCUGUAAGCCUGUGAAGGUGUACUGUGAGGUAUGCUGGAGGUAUCAGAAGUGCGAAUGCUGACAUAAGUAACGAUAAAGCGGGUGAAAAGCCCGCUCGCCGGAAGACCAAGGGUUCCUGUCCAACGUUAAUCGGGGCAGGGUGAGUCGACCCCUAAGGCGAGGCCGAAAGGCGUAGUCGAUGGGAAACAGGUUAAUAUUCCUGUACUUGGUGUUACUGCGAAGGGGGGACGGAGAAGGCUAUGUUGGCCGGGCGACGGUUGUCCCGGUUUAAGCGUGUAGGCUGGUUUUCCAGGCAAAUCCGGAAAAUCAAGGCUGAGGCGUGAUGACGAGGCACUACGGUGCUGAAGCAACAAAUGCCCUGCUUCCAGGAAAAGCCUCUAAGCAUCAGGUAACAUCAAAUCGUACCCCAAACCGACACAGGUGGUCAGGUAGAGAAUACCAAGGCGCUUGAGAGAACUCGGGUGAAGGAACUAGGCAAAAUGGUGCCGUAACUUCGGGAGAAGGCACGCUGAUAUGUAGGUGAAGCGACUUGCUCGUGGAGCUGAAAUCAGUCGAAGAUACCAGCUGGCUGCAACUGUUUAUUAAAAACACAGCACUGUGCAAACACGAAAGUGGACGUAUACGGUGUGACGCCUGCCCGGUGCCGGAAGGUUAAUUGAUGGGGUUAGCGCAAGCGAAGCUCUUGAUCGAAGCCCCGGUAAACGGCGGCCGUAACUAUAACGGUCCUAAGGUAGCGAAAUUCCUUGUCGGGUAAGUUCCGACCUGCACGAAUGGCGUAAUGAUGGCCAGGCUGUCUCCACCCGAGACUCAGUGAAAUUGAACUCGCUGUGAAGAUGCAGUGUACCCGCGGCAAGACGGAAAGACCCCGUGAACCUUUACUAUAGCUUGACACUGAACAUUGAGCCUUGAUGUGUAGGAUAGGUGGGAGGCUUUGAAGUGUGGACGCCAGUCUGCAUGGAGCCGACCUUGAAAUACCACCCUUUAAUGUUUGAUGUUCUAACGUGGACCCGUAAUCCGGGUUGCGGACAGUGUCUGGUGGGUAGUUUGACUGGGGCGGUCUCCUCCUAAAGAGUAACGGAGGAGCACGAAGGUUGGCUAAUCCUGGUCGGACAUCAGGAGGUUAGUGCAAUGGCAUAAGCCAGCUUGACUGCGAGCGUGACGGCGCGAGCAGGUGCGAAAGCAGGUCAUAGUGAUCCGGUGGUUCUGAAUGGAAGGGCCAUCGCUCAACGGAUAAAAGGUACUCCGGGGAUAACAGGCUGAUACCGCCCAAGAGUUCAUAUCGACGGCGGUGUUUGGCACCUCGAUGUCGGCUCAUCACAUCCUGGGGCUGAAGUAGGUCCCAAGGGUAUGGCUGUUCGCCAUUUAAAGUGGUACGCGAGCUGGGUUUAGAACGUCGUGAGACAGUUCGGUCCCUAUCUGCCGUGGGCGCUGGAGAACUGAGGGGGGCUGCUCCUAGUACGAGAGGACCGGAGUGGACGCAUCACUGGUGUUCGGGUUGUCAUGCCAAUGGCACUGCCCGGUAGCUAAAUGCGGAAGAGAUAAGUGCUGAAAGCAUCUAAGCACGAAACUUGCCCCGAGAUGAGUUCUCCCUGACCCUUUAAGGGUCCUGAAGGAACGUUGAAGACGACGACGUUGAUAGGCCGGGUGUGUAAGCGCAGCGAUGCGUUGAGCUAACCGGUACUAAUGAACCGUGAGGCUUAACC